rnacentral:rRNA from 1 species
AUGGCUAGCUCAGCGCUACUUCGAGAAGCCGUCGCGGUAGCGCAAGCCGGCAAGGCCAAGAUCGUGGAGUGGGCUCCUCAGCUGGACGUUCUGCGGCACAGAGCGGUGGGCUCCUUCCUGACACACGCCGGUUGGAACUCCACGCUGGAAUGCGCCGUCGAGGGCGUGCCGAUGGUGUGCUGGCCCUUCUUCCUCGACCAACAGAUGAACAGCCGUCUCGUGGGCGCCGUGUGGAGGACGGGGCUGGACAUGAAGGACGUGUGCGACAGGGCUGUCGUGGAGAGGAUGGUGAGGGAGGCCAUGAUGUCCGGCCAGAUCAAGGCAGCGGCCCAAGCCAUGGCGGAGCAGUUGAGUCUGGACAUCGCCGACGGGGGCUCAUCGUCAUCCGAGUUAGGGCGGCUCGUCCGCUUCAUCAGAGAGCUCAGCGUCAAGUCUGGUCCAGAGCCAAGAAUUACUUAA